AGUAGCGUGGCUGAGUGGUCUAAGGCGCUGGUUUUAGGUACCAGUCUCAAUGAAGUUUGGGUUCGAAUCCCACCGCCGCCU